GACGAACGCUGGCGGCGUGCUUACCACAUGCAAGUCGCACGAAGUGGCGAACGGGUGAGUCACGCGUACUCCCCCUGCCCUUCAGAGGGGGACCACCGUUGGAAACGACUGCUAAUACCGCAUAAUGAAGGAGGGGAUUGCGUCUGCUUAGCUAGUUGGAGGGGUAACGGCCCACCAAGGCGAUGAUCAGUAGCCGGUCUGAGAGGAUGAACGGCCACAUUGGGACUGAGACACGGCCCAGACUCCUACGGGAGGCAGCAGUGGGGAAUCUUCCGCAAUGGACGAAAGUCUGACGGAGCAACGCCGCGUGAGUGAUGACGGCCUUCGGGUUGUAAAGCUCUGUUAAUCGGGACGCGGUACCGGAAUAGAAAGCCACGGCUAACUACGUGCCAGCAGCCGCGGUAAUAC
rnacentral:rRNA from 1 species